rnacentral:rRNA from 1 species
UAAGCAUAUCAAUAAGCGGAGGAAAAGAAACCAACAGGGAUUGCCUCAGUAACGGCGAGUGAAGCGGCAACAGCUCAAAUUUGAAAUCUGGCUCCCCUUGGGGGUCCGAGUUGUAAUUUGGAGAGGAUGUUUCUGGCGCGGCGCCUACCGGAGUUCCUUGGAACAGGACGCCACAGAGGGUGAGAGCCCCGUACGGUUGGCCGCCUAGCCUGCACGAAACUCCUUCGACGAGUCGAGUAGUUUGGGAAUGCUGCUCAAAAUGGGAGGUAAAUUUCUUCUAAAGCUAAAUACCGGCCAGAGACCGAUAGCGCACAAGUAGAGUGAUCGAAAGAUGAAAAGCACCUUGAAAAGAGGGUUAAACAGUACGUGAAAUUGUUGAAAGGGAAGCGCCUGCGACCAGACUCGCGCCCCGCGGACCAGCCGGCGUUCUCGCCGGUGCACUCCGCGGGGGGCGGGCCAGCAUCGGUUUUCCCUGGGGGAGAAAGGCUGCGGGAAUGUAGCUCCCUCGGGAGUGUUAUAGCCCGUGGCGUCAUGCCCCAGGGGGGACCGAGGACCGCGCUUCGGCAAGGAUGCUGGCGUAAUGGUCGUCGGCGACCCGUCU